rnacentral:ribozyme from 13 species
UUAUUGGUUCUCUUGUUUUUUUUUUGUUUUUGUUUUUCGAUCUUUUUCUUUUUUCACUUUUUCUCAUGUUCUCCCUCUUUUACGAGGAAGGAAGAGCAGCGACGG